rnacentral:tRNA from 2 species
GGGGGUGUCGUCCAACGGCAGGACUCUGGUCUCCAAAACCAGGUAUUACGGUUCGAAUCCGUACGCCCCCGCAA